AGUAAUUCUGAAAACUCUGACUAGCUUUACGAUGACGAAAUUACAGUAAGCCUGAAUAAUUCUGCAGGAAUCAGAAGAAUUUCCAUCUAUAUCUAUAUCUGUGAAGAACGAAAACUGGUUGCGAGAGUUCAUUGAUCCAAAAGUUGAUACUUUUAUGUACUGUGUCAAAAAACCAAAGAGCAGAAAGAUGAAAACUUCAUCUCAUGGAAGAAAUGAUACAGAUCCGCUAGUGUUAGAUGUGGAACUACGUAUUGGUAUUGCGAAUGCUCGGCUACAGGAGAAC